rnacentral:lncRNA from 10 species
GUACUAGUCUGUGGCCUGUUAGGAACUGGGUCGCUCAGUAGGAGGUGAGGAAGGGGCCAGCAAGCAUUACCACCUGAGCUCUGCCUGCAGUCAUAUCAGUGGUGGCAUUAGAUUCUCAUAGAAGUGGAAACCCUAUUGUGAACUGCACAUGACAGGGAUCUAGGUUGCAAGCUCCUUAUAAGAAUGUAAUGCCUGAUGUUCUGUCACUGUCUCCCAUCACUCCCAGAUGGGACUGUCUAGUUGCAGGAAAACAAGCUCAGGGCUCCCACCGAUUCUACAUGAUGGUGAGUUGUAUAAUUAUUUCAUUAUAUUUUACAAUGUAACAAUAAUAUGAAGUGUAUAAUAAAUGUAGUGUGUGAUUGAAUCAUCUAUCCCCAAACCACCCCCAACCCUGUCCAUGGGAAAACUGUCUUCCAUGAAACUAGUCUCUAGUGCCAAAAAGGUUGGGGAUUGCUGCUUUAAAAUGCUCAACUUUAUGUUAUCAGGAUUUUACCUUAAUAAAAGAAAUUUAAGGAACAGAGACAUGGUUCUAUGCAGAUUUCUUUUACCUUAAGAAGUUGCACCACAAUCCAGUGCUUCUGAUGUGAGGUGGAAUUUCUAGUAGGUGAGAGAUGUCCUAAGUACCAUAGUUUUCAGACAUUAAACUACCCCUCUUACUUUUAUCUUUUUAAAAAAGGUUCAACUUUUAUUACAGAGUAAAGGUUACACAUGUCUUUUUCUUAAAGCAGUUGAGUUGGGGGCAAACAGGGAACAAGACAUCAGGGAGCAUGGAGUGGGGAACACCUCCUCACCAAUAUGCCUGCCACGUUUGUUUUUCAUGUGAUGCAGAGAGAUGAAUCAAGUGUCUUUUAUUUUCAGUUUAGCCCUCUACCAGCUUUUGACGCCUUUACCAUCUAUUAUACCUCCUUCCUAGAAAAGAAGAUUUCACAGGAAAUGUAAGAGGACUACAUAUCCCAAUCUCUUUUGCAAUGUAGUUGGAUACUGAUUAGUUCCAGCACUUUGGAUAAGG